UACGUAGGGUGCGAGCGUUAAUCGGAAUUACUGGGCGUAAAGCGUGCGCAGGCGGUUUUGUAAGCCAGAUGUGAAAUCCCCGGGCUUAACCUGGGAACUGCGUUUGAAACUACAAGGCUAGAGUGUGACAGAGGGGGGUGGAAUUCCACGUGUAGCAGUGAAAUGCGUAGAGAUGUGGAGGAACACCAAUGGCGAAGGCAGCCUUCUGGGCCAACACUGACGCUCAUGCACGAAAGCGUGGGGAGCAAACAGG
rnacentral:rRNA from 1 species